rnacentral:rRNA from 1 species
UACGUAGGGCGCAAGCGUUGUCCGGAAUUAUUGGGCGUAAAGAGCUCGUAGGCGGUCUGUCGCGUCUGGUGUGAAAUCCCGAGGCUCAACCUCGGGCUUGCAUCGGGUACGGGCGGACUAGAGUGCUGUAGGGGAGACUGGAAUUCCUGGUGUAGCGGUGGAAUGCGCAGAUAUCAGGAGGAACACCGAUGGCGAAGGCAGGUCUCUGGGCAGUUACUGACGCUGAGGAGCGAAAGCAUGGGGAGCGAACAGG